rnacentral:lncRNA from 1 species
AUUAGAAGUUGUGGUGACCAGGAAAGUCCUCCUGUGCAAGGUGGGGAAACCAAGAGACCAGAGGGAAAAAAGGUUGAAGUCCGCUCUUAGAAGAAAGGAGAGAUUGUCCCAAGUCCCAAGUUUCCUCUAUAGGCAACAACAGCUGUCCUGGGGCUAGUGCUGCUGACUUCCAGUGCUGGGGUCCCUGGAGAAAGUGAGUUUAAGCUUGAAG